rnacentral:rRNA from 1 species
GUGCCAGCCGCCGCGGUAAUACGUAGGUGGCAAGCGUUAUCCGGAAUUAUUGGGCGUAAAGCGCGCGCAGGUGGUUUCUUAAGUCUGAUGUGAAAGCCCACGGCUCAACCGUGGAGUGUCAUUGGAAACUGGGAGACUUGAGUGCAGAAGAGGAAAGUGGAAUUCCAUGUGUAGCGGUGAAAUGCGUAGUGAUUUGGAGGAAAACAAGUGGCGAAGGCGACUUUCUGGACUG